rnacentral:tRNA from 1 species
AUGAAUGUAGCUCAGUGGCAGAGCAUUUGCCUACCAUGCACAUACCCCUGGGUUCAAUCCCCAGCA